rnacentral:rRNA from 1 species
AUUGAACGCUGGCGGCAUGCCUUACACAUGCCAGUCGAACGGUAACGGGCCUUCGGGUGCCGACGAGUGGCGAACGGGUGAGUAAUACAUCGGAACGUGCCCGAUCGUGGGGGAUAACGAGGCGAAAGCUUUGCUAAUACCGCAUACGAUCUACGGAUGAAAGCAGGGGACCGCAAGGCCUUGCGCGGACGGAGCGGCCGAUGGCAGAUUAGGUAGUUGGUGGGAUAAAAGCUUACCGAGCCGACGAUCUGUAGCUGGGCUGAGAGGAUGAUCAGCCACACUGGGACUGAGACACGGCCCAGACUCCUACGGGAGGCAGCAGUGGGGAAUUUUGGACAAUGGGCGCAAGCCUGAUCCAGCCAUGCCGCGUGCAGGAUGAAGGCCUUCGGGUUGUAAACUGCUUUUGUACGGAACGAAAAGCCUUCUUUUAAUACAGGAGGGUCAUGACGGUACCGUAAGAAUAAGCACCGGCUAACUACGUG